rnacentral:lncRNA from 1 species
UUUGUCUCUUGUGUCCUGCCUAAAAAGAGGCAGAAGUGAAUUAUCUCGGGCAACUUUUGCACCCGAAUCUCAUACAAUUGAUCGGGUUUGGAGGACAAACAACGGCUUUUAGUGUACGAAUUCAUGCCUUGUGGGAGCUUGGAAAGUCACUUAUUUAGGAGAGGAUCUUAUUUUCAACCAUUAUUGUGGAGUCUUUGGUUAAAGGUUGCUCUCUAG